UUUAAAAGACAUAAUUUCAGCU
rnacentral:siRNA from 1 species